CAGUAGCCGCGGGAAAACGGAGGGUGCAAGCGUUAAUCGGAAUUACUGGGCGUAAAGCGCACGCAGGCGGUCUGACAAGUCAGAUGUGAAAUCCCCGGGCUUAACCUGGGAACUGCAUUUGAAACUGUCAGGCUGGAGUCUUGUAGAGGGGGGUGGAAUUCCAGGUGUAGCGGUGAAAUGCGUAGAGAUCUGGAGGAAUACCGGUGGCGAAGGCGGCCCCCUGGACAAAGACUGACGCUCAGGUGCGAAAGCGUGGGGAGCAAACAGGAUUAGAUACCCCUGUAGUCCCUGUCUCUUAUAA
rnacentral:rRNA from 1 species